rnacentral:lncRNA from 1 species
CAAUUUUACUGGACUAAGGGUUUGUCAGAUAGCCAGUGAAAUAUUAUUUUUGGGUAUGUCUGUGGAUGUGUUUCUGGAAGAGAUUAGAAUUUGAAUCAGAACACAGAGUAAAGCAGAUGGCCCUCCCCAGUGUGGGUGGGCAUCAUCCGAUCUGGUGAGAGCCCCAGUAUAACAAAAAGACAGAGGAAGGGUGAAUUAGUUUUCUCUGUUUGAGCCGAGACAUCCAUUCCCUUCUGCCCUUGGAAGUUAGACAUCAGCUUCUGGUUCAUGUGGCUUUGGAUUCAGAUUGGGUUUUCCACUAAUUAGAACCACUUCCCUCCCUCCCACUCUUGGUGGGUGAAUUCUUUGAUGGCCUGCCUAUAAUUCCUACUUCAGGUCUCUGGUACAUAGAUAGCUUUUGCUAGAUACAGGAUGCAAGAUUAUAAAAUUGAUUUUGUUUUCUCUUCAGUUCUCAUAUAGCUCUUAGAAUGUGGAAGUAGCAUAUGCUUCAUUUUAGUUUGAGAUAGAGUUACAAGAUGUAUUGUUUUCAUGAUAAAAGAGAACUUUUUUUUUUUUGCUAAGGAUUGAAGUAUAUGGCUGUGACUUUUGUAUAAUACAUAUUUAAGAAAUAUUUGGAUAUAUAAAUAAUAUAUAUAUAUAUAUAUGUAAUUUUUUUCCAGUGAAGAGUAAGGGCCUAUGCUGUGUGCUAUGCAGUAUAAGGACGAAUUAUGACAUAUAAAGCUUAGAGUUCCUAGUGUAUAUAACUGAAAUAUAGGUAGGCCGGUAUGUAAGUGCUAUGAAAAUAGAAAUGACAAGAAGGGCAUUAGGUGCUCCGAGUAGAAAGAAGUCACAUCUGGCUGUUAUUCAGUAAAAGGCUCAAAGAAGAGGCAGUAUCUGAAUAGAACCUAAAUGAGAUAGGGAAAUGGUAUUCCCAGCCCAGGAUAUAGCAAGACACAGACGUUAAAACAGAUUUAUUAAGAUGUACACAGAACCAUAAUGGACAUUUACGUGAAGCUGAACAAAUGUGUGAAGGCAAAUGGUGGGAGGCAGAAGAAUUUGAACACAAUGUGCUAAGCAUUUGAACUGAAUUUCUGGAAGGAACAUAAUUGUUAGUGACAAAAAUUGGAGAAAAAUAGUGUAGUAGGGAGAAGUGCUGUAGGGUAUAACACAACUUUGUGCCUGAAUGCCUGACUUUUGAAGGCUGGCCAUGAAAAGGUCACACCUAGCAAAGGAAUAUACAUGAAAUCUUUCUUUGUCAGUCUGAGCAGGAUUUCCCAGCUAGAGGGAAAAAGGAUAUAUGUAUUAGAAAUCACUGGCACCAUCAAGUAAUCAGCAGCUACAAUAGCUCAUAGACAAAAUAACAUAUUGGUCAUUUGUUCAGCCAAAUGGAUCUAAUAAAUUGAGAAUCUGGAAAACUUAUUGAUCAAAUUUUGCAGCUCAGGACAGAUAAAACAAGUAAGUGAUUGGUUCUCGUUAACCAGGAGAGAACACGGUGAGAUGGGGGUGACUAGAGAGUAGUGUAAUGAAGGAAGCACUGACUCAUGACUGAAGACAUGGAUGCCUAUACAUAUCCUGUCCUAAUUCACUCUGUGACCUUGGCAAGUCACUGUAACUUUCUGGGCUUUCCUCCUCUUUCCAAGGAGAACAGUGUCUAUUCUUGGCCAGUGUGGAUACAUUUUGUCUAAUUUUCUAAUACUUUUGAAGAUCACAGCAAACAAACAAAUUUCCCUUUGGAAACUGUGCUAACCAAUGUGGUGAGGUAAAAAAUAUAAAUGUUUUUUCCGUGUAUCAAGAUAGUAAAAUUUUUGGUGAAUAUAUCUUCCAUAUCUUGAUGCACUCAGAACCAUUGUUGCUCACUAAGGUAGUAGCGCUGGAGGUGCAGAGUUUGAGAAGAAGCACUGGUGGUCCCAGACUAUGUUAACUACCUUUUUGACCACUGGACUGCUGGAGGAGUCAGACGAGGGUGAGAAUUAGAAGCUAUGACUGGGGUCAUCUAAAGGUGGCUCUGUAGAAUAGGGCAUGCUAUUGAGCCUUCAACAAAAAUGUCCCACUGCUAGCUUGGGUCUGAGUCCAUGAUGCUUAAACUUCAAGUUGUAUAUUUUUAGUGUUCGUCACUGUGGAAGAUCUUGAAACAAUUUAUGAUUGAGGCUUCGGCUUCCAAGUGUCACAUGGUUAUGCAUUGCAGGGAAUGUCUGCCAAUCAAAUAAUGUAUCUCAAUGGAUUUUUUUUUUUUUAAUUCUGGUGGUUUAAUCACCUUUCAUUACAAUUUACUGCAAAAUCUACUCUGGAAAGAAUGUUACAAAAAUAGAAAAAAGGUGUAUUUUCAGAAAAUUAUUCACAUAGUUAAGCCAGGUGAGCGAAAUUCUUGUGUUUAAAUGUCAUGUAAAAGACAAUGCUAACUUGACCUCCUUCAAUUUUCAUAUGGAAGCUUGUGAAGUUUGAGUAGGAUAAAGAGAAAUGUACCUUUUAUUCCUGAAGGCUUUUAGAAUCUGACUUUUGUAGACACUCAGUGUCUUCUCUUUGUAAUCUCAGGUUUUAUAGUCUCCAUUAUCAAUUGUGAGAGAUGUAGAAGUCUAGUUUAUAUCUUUCAGAAGGGACACCUGGGUCAACAGGUUGAAAGAACUUUGAAAGUUAUUUGUAUCUUUGCCAGUCAGUGCAUUGUGUGAGAAUCAGUGUAGCUAGUCUGUAAACUACCUUUGAAUAAGAGGCAGCAAAUGGAAUUUAUCAGGGGACAAUGCCCUUUGUUUAGAAGGAGCAACAAGAGAUGAAUAAAAGGACACAACGAGUCUUUGUGUUUAGUGUCCCAUUUUUCCAGAUAAAACAGGGGAUAAUAUUCAAUCUUGAUUGUGCACAGAGGCUUUUGGCACUUAAAGAGAUGGAAGAAGAAGGGAAAUGAAAAAGAAAUAAAGCAACCAAUAUGUUCUUGAACUGUGACUUCUAGCAGCUGCAUUUAAAAAACAACUAUUACAUUUUUUGAGUUUAUCUAUGAGGCUUAUCCAUUAUAUGUGCAAACACAAUCUGAUUAGUAUUUGUUAUAAGCUCUUCUUGUCUGCUUUUAUUACAGACAUCACCUUCAGAUGUGGGGCCACUGCAGCUAUUAAAUCAGGAAUAUUUAGCUAUUAUUUGUAAUAAAUGUCAGCAGGGCUGAACUGAAGCCAGCAGGAAAUGUUCGGGGCAGAAAACACACUGACAUUCAUUCAUGCAAAUUUGUACCACUGGUAGAAUUAAUCAUAAAGAGGGAGGGUAGAGCAGACAAUGCAUUUAUAUUACUGGUUUGGCCAAUAAUUCUCCUUCUUACUGAAUAUGAGAGUUGUAAUGAACAGAGAGCAAUCUGCUGACAAAUAGUCCUAUGUGAAGUGCAGGCAGCAAGAUUAACUUUCCAAAGCAGACAUGUUUAGGUUUAUAGUGUAUCACCCUUCCUUCCCUCCACAUGACCCCAGCCAUCUGAAACAGCUUUGUGGUGUCCUUUUUCCUCUUUAACAGACAUCUAGAAUCAACAUUCACACAACUCUUACCUCUUAAAAAUCACAGGGACACUCUAAAGAACAUUGAAUUUUGUUGAGUGCUCGACCAGACUUGCCCUAUUAUAUAACUCAGGAGGCUUACAUUACUCUGGGAAGCUAUGAUGAUAGGAACUUAGCUAUAUUGAUGAUUAAGAAACUGUGGUUUACCAAAAAGGAGAAAAAUUUAGAUCCUUUUUAAUCUGCCUCUGUGUAAAGUGAGGUGAAGCAACUCACACAACUGAUUGAAUCUCCUCAGAGAAGAUUGUAAUCAUCAUUAUCAAACAUAGCUAUUGCUUGAACUGAAUGUCAAGGAGUGUCAUUUAAUUCUAUGAGUGAGUAAAGUUAUAACCAGAAAAGGAUUAGUGCACUUAUUUUUAUAGAAAGGUGAGAAAAAUAUAAGAUGAAAGCAUACUUUAAAAUUUUUCUCAUUGCAUGAAAUUCUUAUUCAUUAGGAAACAAAAACUGCUGAAAGAGCUGACAUAAAAAGUAAGUGACUUCAAAGAUAUUAAUUCUUAUGGUGUUUUAGUCCUGUCAUUUGGAUAAAAAACCUGAAGAACAUGAAAUAGAAAUAUGCUUGGUAAAGUUAAUGCAAAAAUGCUUUAAAAACCAUAUCCUAAUAUUUAUAAAAAAUAAAGUCUUUUAAGAUGUUUCAUAUAUCAUGGAAGUCAAUUCAAAACUUUUCUGUAACAGUGUCAUUUUCCCUAGCCCUUCCCUUCCCCCUCUGCUGCCCUGCUGCUUUGAAUUGUGCACAUAUUCACAUAAUGCAUAUUAUAAACUGAAGUAUUUUUCUUAAUAAUUCUGAUCUCUGAUGCAAUUAUGUUUCUUGCAUUGUUUCUCUUAACGUAGGUUUUAGGAGAGAGCUUGCACAAGUCAAAUGGAAAAGGACAUUUCUGUUAAUCAAGUGAAAGUUGUACUAAAUAUAGCAGCUAAAUGGAAUGACUUAUGCUAUAAUUAGGGAGACCAGUGAUGGCAUCAAGGUGAGGGAUAGAAUAUAUUUUUGCCUAUGGGAUGUCUGCAGCACCAGUAGAGAAAGCUAGAGAAGCUGAUGCAGCAUUUGUAACUUCACAACUUUUCAAAACUGAGUUACUCUUUGUAACAAUGUCCUUAUGGUAUAAUUGUUGAUUUCAUGUCUUAUUCUAGAAUUGAUUUGCAGAAAUUGCAGUAACAUAUUAAAAAAAUAAAGUGAAUGAAAGAAAUAGAAAUUAAUGGCAACAGUAAACAUCUAUUUAUAGGAAUGGUCAAUGCAAGGGGAAAGAUAUUUACACUGCAGAUACAUAGACCAUUUGGCCUUACAAAGUUACUAAAGCUAAGUCAGAAUUUUAGCCUUGGAUCUCUUGGUGGCUAAAAAGAAAGAGCAAUAUGAUUCUUAUGUGAUUAGUUGUUUUUGUUUGUUUUGUCUUUUGUCUUUUUGAGGGCCACACCCAUGGCAUAUAGAGGUUCUCAGGCCAGGGGUUUAAUCAGACCUGUGGCCGCUGGCCUAUGCCACAGCCACAGCAAUGCCAGAUCCAAGCCUUGUCUGCUACCCACACCACAGCUCAUGGCAACGCUGGAUCUCCAACCCACUGAGCAAGGCCAGGGAUUGAACCCACAACCUCAUGGUUCCUAGUCGCAUUUGUUUCUGGUGCACCAUGAUGGGAACUCCCUCUUAUGUGAUUAGAAUUGUUGGAAAGAAGAAAGGGUAUUAGUAAUAUAUCUUGUUAAAUGCACUAAAUUUGUGGUAAUAUUGUUGUGCAGGAAUAGACAACUAAUGGGAAAAUGUAAGGAGAAAUCUUCAGUUUCUCUGUUGUUUUGGCCCUAAAACUGUUCUUUAUUUUUAAUUUAUCUUUGGGACCCAAGAAUUCUUUUUUCCACAUCAAAUUGCCUACAUAUCUUCCUCCUCUCACAAACAUGCUCCUUUUGCUUGCUAAAGACAGUUAUUUCAUAUUCUACUUUCUUCUCCCUUUUCCUCUUAAAAUGGUUCUCUAUUCCUAUACUCAAAGAAAAAUGAAUGAUCAGUCUUUGGAGAGACUACAUAAUAUUUUUCUCCUUCUAAAAGACUUUGAUAUUGCUUUAAAAGAUAAGGAUAGCACAGUUACGAAGUUUAAGUAUUAUAAUGAAUUUUAUAAUGGAGCUAAUAAAAUAGAGACCAGAUUGUUAUCUCAGGCUCUGUUUUAAGUGCUUACACAUUAACUUAUUUUACAUUAAUAAAAACUUUUUCCACGAAAAUAUUGAAACAGAGAGGUUAAGUAACUUUAAGGUCACACAUUUGUUAAGUGCAAAUUGUAAUCCAAUUCCAAGUAAUUUGGUUUCAGAAUCUGUACUUUUAACUACUGUGCCAUCCUGCUUCUUAAAUGCUGUUAGUAGAAGACAACUAUUAGAGUGGAAGUGAUUGGAUAUAAAGCUGAGUCUAACUUUCAUGGUGGUACUUGCAGAAGAUGAAAUACGCUAAGUCAUUUAAUUUUAAUUGUGUAACAAUGUAUUUAUGAAGUGGCCAUGAAUCAGCCUCCAUACGAUAAAAGGAGAUUCACAGAGUUGUAUUUGAUGCCACUUUUAGCUUUCCACUUGGGCAUAUAGCCCAAAUCACUUUUUCAUCAGGAGGCUCAUUUGAGUGCAAAUUUUGAUUGAUCCAAAGUUUAUUUAAGAAAGUAGCACUUGCUUGGAGUUGCUGUUGUGGUGCAGCAGAAAUGAAAUUGACCAGGAACCAUGAGGUUGAGGGUUUUAUCCCUGGCCUUGCUCGGUGGGUUAAGGAUCUGGUGUUGCCAUGAACUGUGGUGCAGAUGCAGCUUGGAUCUGGCAUUGCUGUAGCUGUAGUGUAGGCCAGUGGCUACAUGUCCUAUUUGACCCCUAGCCUGGGAACCUCCAUAUGCUGUUUGUGUGGUCC